rnacentral:ncRNA from 1 species
GGUUGGACAGAUUGCAUCUGAUUCCAAGAGAUUUUUGGUUUCUGGGGUGGGAAACU